GUCUUUUAGAAUUAAAGCACAUAUACUAAAAUUGGAAAGAUACAGAGAAGAUUAGCAUGGCCCCUGCGCAAGGAUGACACGCAAAUUUGUGAAGUGUUCCAUAUUUUG